rnacentral:rRNA from 1 species
AGUAACACGUGGAUAACCUACCUAUAAGACUGGGAUAACUUCGGGAAACCGGAGCUAAUACCGGAUAAUAUAUUGAACUGCAUGGUUCAAUAGUGAAAGACGGUUUUGCUGUCACUUAUAGAUGGAUCCGCGCCGCAUUAGCUAGUUGGUAAGGUAACGGCUUACCAAGGCAACGAUGCGUAGCCGACCUGAGAGGGUGAUCGGCCACACUGGAACUGAGACACGGUCCAG